rfam:Neisseria sp. 10023 chromosome, complete genome.
GCCGGUUCCGGCUUGCGCAGACUUGUCCGAACCGCAAGGUUCAUUUUAUUUUUUGGAGUAUUCCGUUAUGGCAUUGUCCGUAGAACAAAAAGCACAAAUCGUUAAAGAUUUCCAACGCAAAGAA